rnacentral:rRNA from 1 species
GUCUACAGCCAUACCACCCUAAAUGUACUUGUUCUCAUGUGACCUAAGAAGCUAAGCAGAGUCAGGCUUGGCUAAUAUUUGGAUGGAAGAAAUGGAUGAUUAGAUUAAAUGCAGUGUCCA